rnacentral:rRNA from 1 species
UCGGAUUGUAGUCUGCAACCCGACUACAUGAAGUCGGAAUUGCUAGUAAUCGUAGGUCAGCAUACUACGGUGAAUACGUUCCCGGGCUUUGUACACACCGCCCGUCAAACCAUGAGAGUUGGCAACACCCGAAGUCGGUAGUCUAACCGCAAGGAGGACGCCGCCGAAGGUGGGGUUGAUGAUUAGGGUUAAGUCGUAACAAGGUAAC